UGAUGAACAAAGAGGCAUGUUCAAGGCUUAGUUCUUCAUUUCAAUUUUAGGAUUACAGGUACCUGAUAGCAUUAAUUCCCAUGGGGAGGAGAUCAGCAAGAAUCUACAGAUUUGAGUGUCUGGGGCAGAGAGGCUUUAUCAGAAUUCAGAUUAACAACUGCUCUGUUAAGUUUUUCAGAAAUGUGUGGGAAUGAUUUCAAAGACACCAUCAGCACAUCACGUCACUGCCUCCAUGGUAUGUAUCAUCACAAAUGAACAUAUAUCUGGGCUAUGGGAUGUGUCUUCCCCUCCCUCGUGUGAAAACCCACUCACAUUAUGAAGCUUCUCAUGAAUUUCACAUAAAGAAGAGGCCAGACAGCUGAGGAGGGGAAUCUGGACAAGAAGAUGGAUGUCAAGCCUGCAGAAAGCAUACGGAAAAACACAUAUUGCCUUGCGAAGACACCACUCUUGAACACAGCUAACACACCCUCCUGAAAAGUGCUGGCUAAUUGCAGGUCUCACAGUCAGAGGGAGAUGAGUAAGCCCCUCUCCAGUGAACCUGAAGACAAAGAUAUCAGAAGACAAGUAAGCCUCCAGUGCUGGAAGUAUGACUCACUUAUAGACACAUAGAAUGGUUUGGGUAAGGAGGGACCUUAAAGGUCUUCUGGUUCCAACCCCCUGCCAUGGCCAGAGACAUCUUCCAGUAGACCAGGUUGCUCAAAACCUCAUCCAGCCUGGCCUUGAAGCGACAUCCACACCAUCCUUUGGAGUCUUUGGGAUUCUUAGGACAGGGCUUCAUAGCAGGUAAGAGCAGACACAAACUUGUUUCAUUCAUACUGUGUCAUAAAGGUGCAAGGCAUGUCCAGCCAAGAAGCAGUGUGACUCUACAGCACUGUGCCUUAACCAGCAUGUCCUGUCCAGCUUGUGAUAUAAACCUGCUAUUUGACUCAGUACCCAUCUGACAGUGGACACAAGCAAGCUGUGAGUCCUGUACAAAACCUGUAUCUUGACCUCCUUUAUCAGUUCUCUGUACUUGGUGCGAUUGGGCCCUCACUGAACCAGAGACCUUGUGAUUUGCCAGGACCAAAUCUGUGUGUGUGUUUGUGGAGGAGAGGGGAAAUGCUGUCUUUUUUGGUUGAAAGCCCAGUUCAUCUGGGCAUCUUCUUAGUCAUUUCAGGAUUGAGUGGUUUGUGAGGGUCAUCAGUCAUUAGAGCAGUGUCCUGCUAUUAAGACUCUUGCAGGCUGCCUCCACACUUAGAGUUGCACAGACUCACAGUCUCUUCUGCCUUGGCUAAGCCUGCCUGAACUGGAGGACUUUAGCAUGCCUCUGAAAGAAGGAGCUUUAUUCUUUCCCAUGACCUGCUUCAAGCAAAGCUACAGCAACCAAAUAGACCGUGCUGUGUGAAACACAAGGUCACACCAGCUUGAGUAAAACAUCCCCCUCUGGUGCUGGAGAGCUCAGCUAAAGAGCAAACCAAAGGCAAAUACAGCAGCAGCUGAAAAUGGAUGUUUUUUUGCUUUGUUUUUUCAUGGCAAAAGCCCAGCAGACUCUGACUGAGAUCAAAAAGUAGCAUAUCACCUGGAGGUCCGUGAAUAAGCAAAGAGAUGUUUAAACCUUCCACCACUUCCAUCAUCAAAGACUUCAGUGGGUUUCUUUCCAUGUGUUUUUUCAUAGCUGGCCUCAGUGAGAGCAACUGUUCAAAAGGGACAUUAGGUGCACCUUCUGUUGGCUGAACCAAUUAAAAUUACCCUUCAAUGUCACCAGGAGCACACACAAAAACCCCAGGAAAAUUCAAGGAGGAAAAGAGAAACAAACACUAGAGUCCCACCUAGGGAACAAGCUAGUUUACAGAGACUGGUAAUGGGACUAUACUGCUGUGCUUCAAGGUCAUAAGUUUGGCUUUUUCAGAUAAGGUUAACAACAGCUAAAAAUCUUAAUUGGUGGCUGUUCAGUGGCCUAUGUGAAGUUAAUGGUAGUCUCUUGUAGCCAUUUAAUUUAAUUAGGUAGCUGCUGUAUGCUUAGCAGAAUGUGUCCCCCAAACUAUUAAGCUUGUUGAUGAGCUGGUGUGUGUGGAAAUGAACGACAAAGUUCACUCAAGUCUUUGGUACUAAUUUAUUAAAUUAUGAUGUAUUCAGACCUCUUCACUCUUGAAUUUAUGUCCUGUGUUGUUGGAGUUGGAUCUCGGAGCUUUAAGGCAGAGAUGUUGGCAGAGGCUUUAUACUUUUGCCACAUAUCAAAAGGUUUAUUUUUUCCAAUAGGAUAUGACUACCAUUAUGUGUGACUCUAGCUUUGAAUGUGCCACAGGAUAGCAGCAGUAUCCAAAUGCUGGCCUUCUUCCAUACUAUAAUUUGCUGAGAACACUUUGUCUGGAAAGAUAUGACAGCUUUAUGUUCUGCAACUUUAGGUGGGGAGAAGCCAGAGCCCCUGCUGCAGGACUCUGUCAGAACUCAGAUGAGUCCUCUGUUGCUGAGCUCUGGUUUUGCUGAGUUCACCAUAUGAAAGGUGAAAGUGUCGGUAGCAUUCAGUUUGGUCUUUCACCAAUAGUUUUAUUCAUUUUAAAAUACUUCCCAAACUUCCACACUGCCACAAACCUUUAUUUUGUGUGGUUUUAGCUGGCUUUGCAUAACAGAAGUUACACAACAUUAACACCAGCAACAAUGCAAAGACAGACCAAAACCAGACCUAUCAUAUGUUCUAUUUCUGUAAAGCAGAAUGAAAGAAUAGACUAAAACUAUUGUCCUUUGUUUUGUUUGUGAUCAUAAAUAUUCAUCAACUAGGUAAUUAAAAUCCAUUGCUAACUAAAGUGGUAAUAUCUGGGUACCAGUGAGAGGCUUGUAGAAUUUCUUUAGUAUUAUUAAAUCUCAGAUUAGUAUAACUGUUAUACAUCUGACAGAUGAACCCAGGACAGUAUCCACGCCUUAUUCCAUACCAUUUACAUCAUGCUCAGGUCCCACAUUUUUCAAUAUGCCAUUACUUUUUGUUUCUAGAUACAGAUAUACAUAUACACACAAGCAUCAUUAUGUUAUUCCUUAGUCCAUGGACCAUCCUUAUAAACCUCAUUGAGUUCAUUUGGUCCAUAACGUUGGGCAAUAUGUAUACACAGUUGAAAUCAGGACAAUAUGAAAGGGUGGUGUCUCCAGCAACACACAGAGAAGGGCUGGAGCACUAAUCACACUGAAACUGACGAAGGCACUUACUACUAUGAUGCCAAAGAAAGCAACUAAAAUAUAAAAGUCAGGGAACUCAGUCCAAUUAGAUUUUGACAUAGGGACAGAAUGGUGCCAAUCAGAAGCAAUUAUUUUAUUUUUUUAUUAGUGCUUCUAAUUUUUCUUCCUGCUUUUUGCAUUUUUUUGAUUGGAAACAUAAGCUGGUUUGAAAGUCAAAGCUCUAGGAGACAGAACUGGUAGUAAAAUCUCAAAUAAUUGAGAUACUCUUGAUGCUAAGAACUCUUGAUGUAAAAAAUCCCCAAAGUCACAGUUGAAUCAUCCACUAGAGAUCCAGUUUGUCCCCUGAUUUGUUUUUCGGGAUUCCUGUCUGGAUGUACUCCUAUUUGCAUAUUGGUUUAUGCAUCCAGAAGAGCUAACUUCCUCCCUUUUCUUCCUCCCCAGAUGAAUGCUAUGGUUUUAUGUGGGGAUGAGUAACACUUGUGACAGAUGAGCUGACAAAACAUGGCAAAACCAUGGGAGUCUGUAACACCAACAGUCACGCUGGUGUUUCCAUGUCCCUGCUGAGGGUGGGAGAUGUUUUGCCAUCACUCUUCCUACAUAUGCAGUCCUAAUGCACUCAGAAUGGGCAAACUUCUAGAGAUGCGAUUUUCAAGUGUUGUGUUGUCAUGACAGGGAGAAGUUGGACUCAGCUCUCAUACAUCAUAAUACAACAUAGAGCCUGUAGCAGAACUGCAGUAGUGGAGCAGGACCAUUUUCACAUGUUGCUACCUAGCUGGAGUGUUAUUUUUCCUAAAUGGCCUGCAAUUGCAAGGAAAAAAUCCUUUUUACUAUACUGUCAACAUAAAUUCCUACAAUCCAUACCAUAAUUUUCUCUGUGCUUACCUGCAAGCUAUACUGAAAGUGCUACACAAUCAUGCAUAAUUCAUUUCUCUUAAAUAAAAUGUAAAUUUAUCAUCAGCCUUUUUGGUUAAUUAACGCACCACUGUAGGAAUAAGGUUAAGUUCUGUAUCUGGGAUUCCUUUUGCUAAAAUAAACACAUGACGCUUUAUGCUGCUUAAAUUGGUGCAAUUGAUUGCUGAGUGGGACAGAACUGAAAUUCCAGGGGAGGUCAGCCAGUCAGUGUGUGUCUAAUAUUCAACAGAGUGUGAAUCCACUUGGUUAUAAAGUGAGCUGGAUUACUCUCCAUAGUAUUAGAUGCCUGCAUUUCAGACUUGGCAUAGACAGGAAGGGGUGUUUAUAGGUGUAUUUCCCAACCCCCAAAAGAAAUCUGGACUAUUUUAUUGGCCUUAAGCUGUUCUUCAGGAACCUUCAGAAUGACGUUUGAUGGAUUGCUAUGCUUACUGUAAACAUUUGACUUAACAAAGCGUCUUGCAGGUUAGGUUUCAUUCUUUAUAGACCUUGAAGCUUCACAUGCAGUUGGCUACCCAUUAAAUAAAGGAUUAAGUACUUGGAAAAAAAAAAAGCAUAUUCCUCAAGGAUGGGGUAAUGACACAGUGCUCAGCAGGGACUUAGCUGUAAUUGUUAGUGUUUCCUCUUCUUCCCUCCAAGCAAUAAAAUCCUUAAAUAAAAAGGAAUGUAGAGAAGGUGGGCUUUGGGCUGUGGACCUCUUCAUGAAAGAAUAUUGACAUAGGGUUACACAUGGUUAGAAAGAGAGAGAGAAAUUCUCAGGUCCACCAUACACAGAGCCAUGGGAUUUAGGAGUAUUUCUCCAGCACGGUUUCAAUUAUUUUUUCCCUGUAACAAAAAACCACGACCUCUCCUUUGCCUACGUCCUGCCUCUCUCCUGUGGCCAGGCAGACAGAAGGUCAUUUCAAGUUUGGGGGAGAAGUUGGUACUUGGGCAGAAGUCUCUGGACACAGAAGGAAACUGCUUUGCCAUUCCCUGAAGUCACAUUAUUCUUAUGUUCAUGCUACACAUAGCUCUCUUGGAAGGUCUGGGAUUCAUUACCUGCCUUCUGCUACAGCCUUCUGGCUUUGGAAAUGUGCAGAGAGUUUCAAGAUUAGCUCCCGCGGCCAAACUAUGACAUGAAAGUGCAGCUGGCUGAGAGGCAAACAGGUUGUGUGUAUGGCUCCCAGUGCCCUUUUCCUGCCCCUGCCAGGGUGAGGAGAACUGGGGCAGGAAUGGGCCACAGGUUGCCUUGCAUACCUUGCUGGUUUACAGCACAGGGGCACUUUCUGCAGCAGUGGAGGAGCCGGCUCACAGCCAUCCACAGACUGCAGUGGACUGGAGGAAGCAGAGUCUGACAUUUUCUGGGCUGUGUAUUGACAGUGUCUCUCUCAGGAGCCCUGUUUAAAUUAGGUUUUCUCUCAUUGUCCUGUGCAGUGCCUGCUCCAAGACAGAGGACCUACAAUAGGCCCUCUGCAGCAGGAGCCGUCCAGAGCUGCCUGGGAGCCACUCUCCCCCAGUCUCAGUCCCUCCUGGGUCUCAGGCUCUGGGCAGCCAAGAGAGGGUCCGAGCUGUGUUUUUAGCAUGCACACGUAACAGCGGUGUAAGGGGCAGGGGAAGGAUGGUGCAUCAUCAGCAGGGCCCUUGCUCAAUGUCAGAGGCUGGCUUGAAAGUCGGUCGCUGAAGCAGUCUGACGUCAGCUCUGUCGCUGUAGGAAGUAUCGAGUUAAACUGAUAAUUAUCUGCAGCACGUGUAUGAAUUACAAACCUUUUGAUGUUCAGGCUUAUAUGUUUCGAGUUAGCCAGCACAUCUUAAUCAGAUUUUCUUUCCUUUUUAAAUGAAAACUUGAAGCUCUCUUAUCUUCCAUUCCCUUUUCCUCCUUUGAACUUGUACUUCACUGAGAUUUUCACAGACACAGCCUUUCCUCAGCCAGGUCCCACCAGCUUCCAUCCACAAAGUCAACUCAGCAAGGUAAAAUGGCAGGUGCUGUUGGGUUUGCAGUAAUAGAGCUUGAAAACAAUGAGCUCUUUGUCUGUCACUGCUUUUCUUUGCAAUAUUAAAUAUAUUUUAUCAAUGGCAGUGGGCAGUGGAACACGGAGAAAGAAAGAGGAGAGAAAAAGACCCUUGAAAGAGACUCUGGUUAGUUCAAUAAAAGCCUGGCUGUUCUGCCUUCCUUGAGCAUGAGCAAACUGCUCACUGGUGCACGGAGUCUCCAGAAAGCAAACCCUAGAACUCAUCGGCUCUGCUUGCAAAAUUCAGUGUCUUUGUCCUAACCACAAACACUUCACCAGCACCCCACCCGCCACAAAGCACAAUAGCUCAUACCCUCGAUGUCUCUCCAAGUUUUUCACAGAUAUUAGUCAACGUUUUCAUAUUAUU